rnacentral:rRNA from 1 species
UACGUAGGGGGCAAGCGUUGUUCGGAAUUACUGGGCGUAAAGGGCGCGUAGGCGGGAUGGCAAGUCAGUCGUGAAAUCUCUCGGCUCAACCGAGAAACGUCGGCUGAUACUGCCGUUCUUGAGGGAUGCAGAGGAGACUGGAAUUCCCGGUGUAGCGGUGAAAUGUGUAGAGAUCGGGAGGAACACCGGUGGCGAAGGCGGGUCUCUGGGCAUUUCCUGACGCUGAGGCGCGAAAGCGUGGGGAGCAAACGGG